rnacentral:rRNA from 1 species
AGCAGCCGUGGUAAUUCCAGCUCCAAUAGCGUAUAUUAAAGUUGUUGCAGUUAAAAAGCUCGUAGUUGAAUUUCAGGAUCAAUUUGUUGGUCGUGCCUUGGUAUGUACUUGCAUUAUUGGUUUCUCCCUUCUGAAGAACCUUGAUCUCAUUAAUUUGGUGUCUUGGGGAAUCAGGACUGUUUGAAAAAAUUAGAGUGUUUAAAGCAGGCUCGCGCUUGAAUACAUUAGCAUGGAAUAAUGAAAUAGAACGUUUGAUUAUAUUUUAUUGGUUUCUAGGAUCGACGUA